CAAACGGGUCAAAAGGAGGCAAGGGAACGGACGCAAAAAGGUACAUUAUUGAUGUCUUAUCAAGGAUUAGACACCCAGAUGGAACGAUUAAAUCUAGAAAGAUAACGGAUGGAAAGUAUAUGUGGAUAAAACGUAACGAGACUACAUGAUUAUGAACCUUGUUUGUAUAUGAUGUAUGCUAAUGUUGCGAAUGUAUAUGGUGGGUGCAGGUUGUACGAAUCACAGAUUAUCAUCAAGAGGAGUAGCGAUCAAGUCAAGAUCAAGGAUUGUACGGAAAGUGCGGUCACAUAGUUAGGUUAUGUAUUGCCUUGAAGUCUUAAAAUUGAGUACGAAUGUUGCGAUUACUUUUUAUGAAACGUUUGACAAUUUGUAACUUGAACCGUCAUGUAAGUAAUGUCGUUACCAAAGAAAUAAAUUUUAAGGUUCGUAA